CCUUUUGGCUAAGAUCAAGUGUAGUAUCU
rnacentral:piRNA from 3 species